GAUGAAGAACGUAGCGAAAUGCGAUAAGUAAUGUGAAUUGCAGAAUUCAGUGAAUCAUCGAAUCUUUGAACGCACAUUGCGCCCGCCAGUAUUCUGGCGGGCAUGCCUGUUCGAGCGUCAUUUCAACCAUCAAGCCCCAGGCUUGUGUUGGGGACCUGCGGCUGCCGCAGGCCCUGAAAAGCAGUGGCGGGCUCGCUGUCACACCGAGCGUAGUAGCAUACAUCUCGCUCUGGGCGUGCUGCGGGUUCCGGCCGUUAAACCACCUUCAUAACCCAAGGUUGACCUCGGAUCAGGUAGGAAGACCCGCUGAACUUAAGCAUAUCAAUAAGCGGAGGA
rnacentral:misc_RNA from 1 species